rnacentral:tRNA from 2 species
GGUGAGAUGGCCGAGCGGUCUAAGGCGCCACGUUAAGGUCUUCCUUAAUCAACAUCUUCUAGCAAAGAUUCCGUGGUCCGAAAGGGCGUGGGUUCGAAUCCCACUCUCAUCA